CACCUGUCAAGCUGUUGAUAAACAUUUCCAAUAAAACAGUGUAAUAUCCUAGAAGGAAUAAUGUAUACUUCCUACCUCCUUAAUAAUGAAUGAUUUCCUACACAUUUAUUUUAAUCACUGAAUCCUUGUAGUACAUGAAUAUCACAUUGAAUUUUCCUUUUCUAUUCACAUUGAUUUAUCACUGUUUAUUCUCAUAGCAAUUUUGAAGUAAAAAUAACACAUGAUUUGUGAAUAUUUUGGAAUCAAUCCUUCCUUUUUAGGGUUUAUCCAGUUGACAUCAUAAAAGCUAUGUUUUACUUCUAGUGUAAAUAUAUAGGUCAC
rnacentral:lncRNA from 1 species